CCUUAAUUAUUGGAGGCCAACGGGGCCAGCGAUCAAGGGGGUUAUUCAGCGGGGUUGACAUAAUAUGACAGCAACGCCUGUGGCCGAGCGGAAAAUCACGGGCGUUACCUCAGCGGGGAGUCGCUCCGGCAGGUAGUGAAGACGGUAGCGAGGUAAAGUGUUAGAGUGAUAUGACAACGCGGCGGUUAAAUGAAUUCAUAUACUAUGAACUACGUGUGAGUAUCUAAAUGGCUGUAAGAAAUGAUUGUUCGACAAUAGAAUAAAUGGUGAU